AGCUUUGCGCGGUGGCAUUAUCGUAGCUGAUGAGGAAUAUCCGAGGCGCGAUAAUUGCUGAUUGAAAACUUAUACCAAUACCCCGCCAGAUGGCCUGAAAUAUAGCUAGCCAGCUGAGCAAUUUUUUUUGGUCCUUUAAUGGA